rnacentral:tRNA from 1 species
GCCCUCGUAUCGGACAGGCCUUCUAAGCCUGAGCACCGUAACUGGAUCAAUGCGCGUUCGAGUCGCGCCGAGGGCUCCA